rnacentral:rRNA from 1 species
UUAUUUAUUUACGGAGAGUUUGAUUCUGGCUCAGAACGAACGCUGGCAGCGUGGAUUAGGCAUGCAAGUCGAACGCGAACCCCGCGGUAGCAAUAUCGCGGGGAGAGAGUGGCGCAAGGGUGAGUAACACGUGGGCAAUCUGCCUCCAAGUUGAGGAUAACCCGCCGAAAGGCAGGCUAAUACUGAAUGUGAUCGUCCGCCGCAUGGCGGAUUGUUUAAAGACGGGGACCCGCAAGGGCCGGUCACUUGGAGAGGAGCCCGCGUCCCAUCAGCUAGUUGGUGAGGUAACGGCUCACCAAGGCUUUGACGGGUAGCUGGUCUGAGAGGAUGGUCAGCCACACUGGGACUGAGACACUGCCCAGACUCCUACGGGAGGCUGCAGUCGAGGAUCAUUUGCAAUGGGCGCAA